rnacentral:rRNA from 1 species
UACAGAGGUCUCAAGCGUUGUUCGGAUUCAUUGGGCGUAAAGGGUGCGUAGGUGGCGCCGUAAGUCGGAUGUGAAAUUUCGGAGCUUAACUCCGAAACUGCAUUCGAUACUGCGGUGCUUGAGGACUGGAGAGGAGACUGGAAUUCAUGGUGUAGCAGUGAAAUGCGUAGAGAUCAUGAGGAAGACCAGUGGCGAAGGCGGGUCUCUGGACAGUUCCUGACACUGAGACACGAAGGCCAGGGGAGCAAACGGG